GGACGUGGUGUACAAAGUCUCUGCAAAGACACUGAAGUUCCAGGCCGCACGACAAAUCUUCUGAAAGAGCCACGAUCGAACGGAAGCCCUGUGUGGAACGGCGCAAGUGUUAGCUUCCCACCAAAACAAACCCGGCGUGAAGCUUGUGAGAAGGUUCCUACUUUAAAGGGGGAGAAGAAUUCUGCCGUAUUAUUCAAUGGAGGCAAACCAAUGAGGAACAGAAUCCACUCCUGGCGCAUGAGGUUAUCCAGUUCAACCCCAUCAACGGUCAAACCCCCAUCGAUUGAGAUGGAAAGAGUGAAAUCGUUUCAAAUCCACGGCGGUGCUUCACCGAGGGUCGUAACCAGAAAGAGCGGGAAUUUUCCGUCAACCUAUUCGGCUGUUCUUCAUCCUCCAUCCUCCCAAGUUUUAGAUGAAGAUUUCAUUCACACUUGUUUUCUCAUGUUUUUUUUCCCCCUCAAAAGGUGCCUGUGGAGCGACAGAGCGUGAGAGGCUCACGCUCCGCAGCAUCCACAUGCGAUUUUCUUCCCCCUUCACUUUCAGUUAUCACGGUAUUUGAUGUGAGAGAGAGAGAGAGAGAGAGGUGGAAAGCUACAGAGAGAUCAGGCAGGGGAUUCAACAACACAAGAUGAAGCAGUGUAUUGUAUCGCAACGGAGACGCCACCAUCCACUCACAUAGCGCCGAAGAAUCUUUUUGAUAUUUGAUGUGUCAUCACAAUGAAACUGAAGAAAACACCUACACCAAGAAUAUUGCAACUGAUUUGUGAAAGUAAAACUCAAUUUGGGAAGACACAUUUCAGUCACUGGGGAAAAAAAAGGGAAAUACAGAUUGAUAUUGUCGAAGCACUCAGCUUCAAUUUGUUGGGUAUUUAAGAGAUCACACAUUAAACAUGGAACAGUUAAACAUUACCUUGAUUAGAGAUUACCAUGAAUUGAAUUGAGAAUUGAGAUGACCUUGUUUUCUUAGACUAUCUGACAGCAAUGAUAUUAAUCCUUAUCCUUUUUAUUUCUUAUUUUUUGCUCUGCUUUUCCAUCAUCUCACUGUUCACUGGAACAGCUUUGAUUUUGUACAAUUUAAAAAUCAGUAAAAGAGAAGAUGAAAAACAGUGAGCCCACAGAACCACAUAAUUAACAGAAACAGAGAACGAUCUUAGAACUGGACUGGAGGACAACAUUUUCCUCAGAUCGUCACAGACAAAUGCAAACUGGGAGAAUAACAGCAGUCAGUGGAAAUGAAGAACAGUACAGUAGGGGCAUGACGCCACACACUGCUCCUGUCCUUAAAAGACCUGAUUGUCUCUCUCUGCUAUCGUAUGGGUUCGGUUUUAGAAUUUGCUCUUGAGUUUCACCAACUGGCCAUGAAAUUGUGACAAGGCUCAGUUUAAAAACAAUCACUGGGAGCUGAGUUAUGAACAUAAUUCUUAACCUAGCACAAUGAUGGGCAUUAUUUGUAGAUUCCAAAUGAAGUGAAAACGUCUUUAUAUGCAGCAAAAUAAGUUGCCAGCUUGUUUCUGUCCCAUGUCUCGUUGGUUGGUUUCAUGUCGUUUCAUGUUUGUUUGCCAACCAGCCUCAUCUCAACCCACAUUUUCAGGGGUUUUUUAUUCGCCCCUGCCUUGUUCCAUGUCAGUGGGUCCCUAUUUGUAAAUGUCAUCUUUGUUUUAAUGCGGCAAGCAAUUAACCUGUGCACCUAAAGUACAUAUUUAAAAGUCUAUGGAUGUAGAUUUUGUCAUUUUUAAAAUAUUCCAGUUUCAACACCCCUGCUGCCCCUGAGUCUUCUGUCUCUUCCCUUUUUUAUAAACCCAGCUUCGUUCUCACUUACCCUCCUUUUUCUAUUCCUGUCCUUUCAUCGCACCUCACUUCAGCCUAUCAUUUUUCACACCGAUAUCGUGGCUCACAUCCUCACACAUUCGAACUUGUGAUGUGCCCAUAUGGAUGCGCGUACUGUAAAUCCCAAAGGGAAAGGAAGAGAGGGAACAUAGCAGGCCUGUGAUUGUGUUGGUAUAAAUUCUUCCCUAGAUAUUUUUCUUUUCCCCCCACAUCAUUGCAUGCAAUGUGUGUAAAUACAUGUUCGAUGAUUGAUUGUUUUUAAUCUGCCGGUACAUGCCUGUGUGUGAAUCUGUAAAGACAAAAGGGCUGCGUGAAGCACUGUGAAGCGAUCUGACAUGUUCUGAG